GCAACAUUUCAUUUCCUAUGCUUAAGCAAAAGAUAGAUGAAAACCAGAAAGAAGAUAACAAAACACAAACAUUUCCAUUUUAGAAAAACAUAGAAACACACGUACAAGAUUCAUUAAAAAAAAAAACCAAUGUGACUUGAGCUAAUGGGAAUUAAUAAAAGAAGAGUGUGUCAACUUUUGGAUUUCUUCAGUAUCCUUAGGUAACAAGUGACUAUACAUCAAAUGCAAACCUAAGUCAGUUGUGGAUAUCUCCUAUGAAUCAAACGAGAUGACAUACAUCGUGAAAUAAACUUCCUAUUACACCUGAGAAAAUCUCAAUAUAAUACUGAACCAGGCAUAAAGAAGCAUAACAGAAGAAAAGCAUUAUUUUUGUAGCUCUAUUUGAAUUCUGCCCCCUUUUUUAAAAUGUGAAUCAGUAGUGCUAAGGGAGCCACCUGCUGGCGACAAUAAAACAUUGCAUGAGAAGUUCUGGAAAGUUAACUUUUCAGUCCUUGAAACGCUAACCAGAAACGCUGAAUGAUUCAGAUGUGAUUCAUUAAGACAAGGAAUUCUUGAAAUCGAGACAUGCUGUACCCCUUUGAACCAUUCUGAUUGUAAGUACAAGGUCAUCCCUGUUUCCAGGUCACGUCUCUCAACAAGGAAGUCUUUUUUUCUCCAGAUGAAAUAACUACAAUGUCUGCAGGUGUGGUACUGCUGAUUUUAUCAGAAGAAUGAUGGGGAGAAACAAGACAAUAGUAUGUACCUCUUUCCUUAGGUGCAUAGACUAUUUACAUGCAAUGGCCAAGUAUUCAAUAAAGAGUUACACAAGCA